GUUUACUACCCUCACUGUUAAAAUGUCAUCCAAUUUGCAGUUAGGGUAUAAGUCAGUAAAUGAAACUGAUCACUGAAACACUUACAUUCCCACAGCCAUGGCCUCUGCCCAUUCUUUGAGGAAGCUACUGGAAGAAGUGGUCUGUCCCAUCUGUCUGGGUUACUUCAAGGAUCCAGUGAGCAUAGACUGUGAACACAACUUCUGCCGAGUUUGUAUCACAGAGCACUAUGAACAAAGGAAAAUGGAAACAGAGGGAGUUUUCUGUCCACAAUGCAGGGAAAAUAUCAAGAAAGAGAAUUUCCAGACCAACAGGCAGCUUGCCAGCAUAGUGGAAAAUAUUCAGCAACUAGGGAUAAAAUCUGAAGACCUAAAAAAGCAGAUAGUCUGCAGGCAGCACUAGGACAAAGACAAGCUGUUCUGUGAAAACGAUGAUGAGGUGAUUUGUCUGGUUUGUGAUAAAAUCCAGGAGCACAGAACUCACACGCUGGUGCCCAUCGAGAAGGCUGCACAGCAAUACAAGGUGAAACUCCACAAUGACAUUGAGCUUCUGAAGAAAGCGAGAGAGGAGAUUUCAAAGCUGGAAUCCAGAGAGCAAAAUAAACCAAAAGAGUGGAAAGAAAGAGUAAAGUGCCAGAAACAGCGAAUCUUGUCUGAAUUUGGGAAACUACAACUGCUUCUGAAUGAGGAAAAGAAACUCUCUCUCCAGAGACUGGCCGAGG